ACAUUAGGACAAUUUGGGGAUAAUGGUAAUAAGUCAAGGGCAAGGCUAUGGUUGACCUUGUUGGAUACAAAAUUCUUAUGACUAAAUUGAAAUGUGGAAAUAUUGGAAAUUUAUUAAGGGUAAAAAUUGAAAUUUCUCAUGUGGAAAUACCAUAAAAGAUUAAGGACAAAAUUGGAAUUACUCAUGUGGAAAUACCAUAAAAGGUUAGGGGUAAAAUUGGAAUUUCACAUGUGGAAAUACCAUAAAAGGUUAGGGAUAAAAUUGGAAUUUCACAUGUGGAAAUACUAUAAAAGGUUAAGGGCAAAGGUGGAAUUUCAACUUGGAAAUAUUAGGAAAGGUGAGGGGCAAAAUGGAAAUUUCACAUGGGAGCCUUAGUCAUAAAAUCCUAGAAUUCUCUACACAAUUUGAGAAAGAAGAAGAGCAAAGGAAAGAAGAGAAAUCAAGAGAGAAAAUCGGACAAGAAGACCAAAAAAUUACCCCUUCAAAUUUCAUCCCAAAAAUUAUAAUUUUCUAGUAUUCCUACUAAGUCAAGGGUGCUCUACAACAUGGUGUAGUUUUUUUGGAAGAUAGGAGGCUUGUUUGGUUGAUUUGAAGCUUUGGUAAAGUGAAGAAGUUGGAAGGAAAAGGGGAGAUGCUGCCGAAAUUUUUGUAGACAAGUAUUGGAAAAAUUGAGUUCUUAAAGUCUUAUGAAUAGUAAUUGGUAAAUGUGACCAAUUGUAGAUUUUGGAGGAAACGGGAAUUGAAUUUGGACAACCGUAAAACGUCAAAAAGGUACCGAAGUUCGAUUUGCUGAUCCACCUGUUUAGGAUAUUUGCUGCGUCGUUGAUAGUGCUCCCUUGUUCGGAGCUUGUAUUUUGGUACUGACUUUAUCUCUGUAUAUUUAGAUAUGUUGGUCAGGGGUACGACGGGGCCCUAUCCCGUCGUAUGACUAUGCUAUCAUCUGUAGAGGUCUGUAGACAGAGUUAUGUUGUGGGUUUUGUAUAUAUGGUUUGGAUUUUUGUGUGUUUUGUGACAACCUUUCAACUCUCGUGCGUAUAUCUACUUUUAUGAUAUAUUUAGCAAUUUCUACUAA